GAUGAACGCUAGCGGCAGGCUUAAUACAUGCAAGUCGAGGGGCAGCGCGGGUAGCAAUACCUGGCGGCGACCGGCAAACGGGUGCGGAACACGUACGCAACCUUCCCAUAACUGGUGAAUAGCCUUUCGAAAGAGAGAUUAAUACACCGUAACAUAACGAAGAGGCAUCUCUUUGUUAUUAUAGGCUUCGGCCGGUUUUGGAUGGGCGUGCGCCUGAUUAGGUAGUUGGCGGGGUAACGGCCCACCAAGCCUGCGAUCAGUAACUGGUGUGAGAGCACGACCAGUCACACGGGCACUGAGACACGGGCCCGACUCCUACGGGAGGCAGCAGUAAGGAAUAUUGGUCAAUGGACGCAAGUCUGAACCAGCCAUGCCGCGUGAAGGAUGAAGGUCCUCUGGAUUGUAAACUUCUUUUAUCUGGGACGAAAAAGCUCUUUCUAGAGCACUUGACGGUACCAGAGGAAUAAGCACCGGCUAACUCCGUGCCAGCAGCCGCGGUAAAACGU
rnacentral:rRNA from 1 species